CUACGGAGGGUGCAAGCGUUAUCCGGAUUUAUUGGGUUUAAAGGGUGCGCGGGCGGACCUGUCAGUCAGUGGUGAAAUCCCGGGGCUCAACCCCGGAACUGCCAUUGAUACUACAGGUCUUGAAUACGGUUGAAGUAGGCGGAAUGUAGCAUGUAGCGGUGAAAUGCAUAGAUAUGCUACAGAACACCGAUCGCGAAGGCAGCUUACUAAGCCGAUAUUGACGCUCAGGCACGAAAGCGUGGGGAGCGAACAGGAUUAGAUACCCUAGUAGUCC
rnacentral:rRNA from 1 species